rnacentral:rRNA from 1 species
AGAGUUUGAUCCUGGCUCAGGAUGAACGCUAGCGGCAGGCUUAACACAUGCAAGUCGAGGGGUAGCAGGAGUAGCAAUACUUGCUGACGACCGGCAAACGGGUGCGGAACACGUACGCAAUCUGCCUCUGUCUGGGGUAUAGCCCACUGAAAAGUGGAUUAAUCCCCCAUAGUAUAUUUGAAAGGCAUCUUUUGGAUAUU